CUGCGGGGUCAUGCGAUUGUGGGCGUGGAAGGAGGAGACGAGGCGCAGGUGGUCCAGGAGAAGCGUCAGCGUGGCCUGAGAGAAGAAGGUCAGUAGUCAGGAUGACCAGACUUCACGCAUGGCCACCCAGGACUCCGAAGGUGAACAGGACAGAUGCUGCAUUACCUUUCCUGAUCCAGCCUUGGGUGUCGUGUUGUGUCACUUCUGGAGCCAGAUUCAUAGACCCCACUCCUCUCAGUGGGCGAUGUGUCAAGUGCCCAGGGUGGACUUAAAAAGCUGAAGUCAGAUUCCAGCACGCCCCACCCCUGCUGUACAGUCUUCCCAUGACUGCUCAUCCUGCCUAGAAUAAAACCCAGAUUCCCA